rnacentral:rRNA from 1 species
GCUUAUACUCGACCGUCAGCGGCAGGUGCGAUCGCGCGAGCUUUCACGAGCGAGCGCGCGGUCACGAAGCCCUGACGAGUAGGAGGGUCGCGGCGGUGAGCGCAGAAGGGCUGGCCGCGAGGCCGUCUGGAGCCGCCGUCGGUGCAGAUCUUGGUGGUAGUAGCAAAUACUCCAGCGAGGCCCUGGAGGACUGACGUGGAGAAGGGUUUCGUGUGAACAGCCGUUGCACACGAGUCAGUCGAUCCUAAGCCCUAGGCGAAAGCCGAUGUCGAUGCGGUGUAGUUUUUACGAUAAUAAUACGAAAUUCGACUAAGACUACGACGACUACGACGACGACGAAAUAACUGUUAAUUCGUUCGUUCUCGUUCGUUCGUGUUUCGUCGAAUCAUAACGCGAGAGCACACACCCGUCGGGCGAAAGGGAAUCCGGUUCCUAUUCCGGAACCUGGCAGCGGAACCGUCAAAAAGUCGGGC